rnacentral:rRNA from 1 species
GGAAUCUUCCACAAUGGACGCAAGUCUGAUGGAGCAAUGCCGCGUGAGUGAAGAAGGUCUUCGGAUCGUAAAACUCUGUUGUUAGAGAAGAACACGAGUGAGAGUAACUGUUCAUUCGAUGACGGUAUCUAACCAGCAAGUCACGGCUAACUACGUGCCAG